GUGCUUGCUUUGGCACCAUAUAUACUAAAAUUGGAAUGAUUCAGAGAAGAUUAGCGUGAACCCUGCGCAAGGAUGACAUGCAAGUUCACGAAGCGUUCCAUACUUUU
ensembl:snRNA U6 U6 spliceosomal RNA